rnacentral:rRNA from 1 species
GUCCACGCCGUAACGAUGAUAACUAGCUGUCCGGGCACUUGGUGCUUGGGUGGCGCAGCUAACGCAUUAAGUUAUCCGCCUGGGGAGUACGGUCGCAAGAUUAAACUCAAAGGAAUUGACGGGGCCUGCACAAGCGGUGGAGCAUGUGGUUAAUUCGAAGCAACGCGCAGAACCUUACCAGCCUUUGACAUCCCGCGCUAACCCAAGAGAUUGGGUGUUCCCUUCGGGGACGCGGUGACAGGUGCUGCAUGGCUGUCGU